AUUAGCGGCCAUGCCGAAGGGGAAACACCCGGACCCAUCCCGAACCCGGAAGUAAAGCUCUUCAGGGAAAAGGCUGGCAGUGCGCUCUUGCGUGCAGCCUCCUAGACGCUGCUAAUC
rnacentral:rRNA from 1 species